rnacentral:rRNA from 1 species
CCUCACACAGGGGGAUAACAGUUGGAAACGGCUGCUAAUACCGCAUAAGCGCACAGUACCGCAUGGUACAGUGUGAAAAACUCCGGUGGUGUGAGAUGGACCCGCGUCUGAUUAGCUAGUUGGCAGGGUAACGGCCUACCAAGGCGACGAUCAGUAGCCGACCUGAGAGGGUGACCGGCCACAUUGGGACUGAGACACGGCCCAAACUCCUACGGGAGGCAGCAGUGGGGAAUAUUGCACAAUGGGGGAAACCCUGAUGCAGCGACGCCGCGUGAGCGAAGAAGUAUUUCGGUAUGUAAAGCUCUAUCAGCAGGGAAGAAGAAAUGACGGUACCUGACUAAGAAGCACCGGCUAAAUACGUGCCAGCAGCCGCGGUAAUACGUAUGGUGCAAGCGUUAUCCGGAUUUACUGGGUGUAAAGGGAGCGCAGGCGGAAGGCUAAGUCUGAUGUGAAAGCCCGGGGCUCAACCCCGGUACUGCAUUGGAAACUGGUCAUCUAGAGUGUCGGAGGGGUAAGUGGAAUUCCUAGUGUAGCGGUGAAAUGCGUAGAUAUUAGGAGGAACACCAGUGGCGAAGGCGGCUUACUGGACGAUAACUGACGCUGAGGCUCGAAAGCGUGGGGAGCAAACAGGAUUAGAUACCCUGGUAGUCCACGCCGUAAACGAAGAAUACUAGGUGUCGGGAAGCAUUGCUCUU